ensembl:lncRNA
AAUUAUGUUUGGUAUUUACAUUUACAAUAAAACAUAAUUCAUUUUGAUAUAUUUAAUGUUUGUUUGUUUGGUUGUUGUUAAACUUUUAAUGUUACAGUAAUGUAUAUUUAGGAAAAUAUUUGUAUUGUGAAAAAUGUCACUUAUAUAUAUAUAUAUAUAUUUAUAUAUAUAUAUAUAUAUAUAAAAGCAAAAUCACAAAAUAAAUGUUACUAGUAUGUUAUGGCCAUAUAUCAGCAGCACAGAUGUGAUUCCUGAAUAAUUCCAUGUUUCUAAUCUAAUCUUUUGAAUUAAUAAUUCAAUUACUUGUCAUUUGAAUGAAUCAGUGUUGGUAUGUAUAUUAUAUGAGCAGUAAACAAAAAGAGCAUGACGAAUCACAGUUUGGCAGCUGUAUUUUUUAUGUGUGCUAACAUAAAGAGGAAGGAAAAGGAAUUUGAGGUAAGCAGCUUUCAUUUUUAGGGUCAUGUUGAUCAACAUGCUAUUUCAUGAUGCAUUUUUAUUGGCUGGUCAGUAGACGGAAGUCGUAGCAGCAAACACACUGUGCGAUGAUAAUGCUGAAUUUCUGACACUGUCUGAAAAUUAUCUUGGUCAUAAGACUCUGUCAACAGCUGUCUUUGAACCUCUCUCACUGAACAACAUAGGACCACCGAUUAGGAGCCAACAUUGUUUCACAAUGGUCAGGACAGCCGAAAAUCAUGCAGUGUGUCCCAGGCUUAAGACUUUUGUCAAGAUGGGCAUAAUUUGUGUCUGCUGGGCUGUUCAUUAUUCAGAGAGCACAUGACAUCACUUUGUAAAGUCAUAAUGUGAAAGAAAAUGGUGAAUAACGAGAUACGUUAUCCAUAUAAUACAAACAAGUCUCUAUCAACAUCUUUGACUAUCUCUCUCUCUCUCUCUCUCUCUCUCUCACACACACAAAGUUUUUUUUUCUUUUUCUUUUCUUUAGAUGGAAUUCUCACAUGAUGAUUGGACAAGCUUCACAUGAGAACAUUUUACAAUGUAAAAAUACAAUUCGAGUGCAUAAUCAAAAGGCUCGACAGUCGAAGAAAUGCUUUGUGUCCCGUUGCCAGUUUCCUAAAGUGAAACAAAGCACCCGAGAAGGGAGACGAUGAAAUUCUGAUUUUAAUAUUACAGUCUGAUGUGAAUCAACGAUGCAGCACUCGAGAAUAAGAAUUCUAAUAAUGGUAUUAUAAUGAAUCUUUUCUUUGAACCCUGGUUACAGCAACGUUUCUGAUGUAAAUAUGGCAUUAAAUGUUUCUUUCAUACCAGGGCUUCCCUAUAACAUUGGCGGCCAAUGGUUUCCUCUAAAAUAUUAGUUUAUAUUAUAACCAGGCAAAAUUUACUGAUGAAUAACCAAAAAUGAACUAAA